UUAGUGGCGGACGGGUGAGUAACGCGUGGAAAACCUGCCGUACACUGGGGGAUAACACUUAGAAAUAGGUGCUAAUACCGCAUAAGCGCACAGCUUCGCAUGAAGCGGUGUGAAAAACUCUGGUGGUAUACGAUGGUUCCGCGUCUGAUUAGCUAGUUGGUGGGGUAAUGGCCUACCAAGGCAACGAUCAGUAGCCGGCCUGAGAGGGUGAACGGCCACAUUGGGACUGAGACACGGCCCAAACUCCUACGGGAGGCAGCAG
rnacentral:rRNA from 1 species